AUAUGUAAUUAUUUUGAGAUUUGUCUGCUGUGAACUACUCUUAACUGUUAAUCCCCACCACCACGCAAAACGCAUCCGCCAUCAUAACGCUCGCAGCGGUAGUAUGUUCCUGGAGAGUCUGCAAAAGGGUUACCAGUUGUUUUUUGGGUGGGAGAUCGAGUAAAAUUAGUUUUGAUUGUCACUGCACUCUGAAGAAACGAACGUAUACGGAAUCGACAAGGUUUUCCCGAAAGGUUAUUGUCGUUAGUGAUGCUAUCAGAGCUUUGAUAAAAUGAUUUUUCUGAUUUUGAGUGUUUCUCUUCAGAUGGAAGAAUCAAAGAAGAACCCAAUAGUAUCUAUUAAAUAUACAUCUCUAGCAAACGAUGCUUAUAUGGGUCACCAGUAGGUUAAAGCAAUGAAAGGGCUACAUAAGUUUGGUAUACACGGCGGGUUACAUCAUCCAUCAUACGUAACCGGCCAAAGAAUUAUUUUUCAAAACCUUCGUUUCCAUUGGAGACGGAGACGAUAGUGGAAGUGAAAAUUCUUCUGAGUAGCCAUCUGCGAGCUCAUCUGCUUCUUCUUGGGAGGAUAUAUGGAGACCAGAACAGCUCCUAUCACUAGGUCAUCCAUUUGCAAGUCCUGCACCAGCCUAUAAUCCUCAAUAAAAAACUCAGAAGAAUCUUCAGAGCAAGUAUUCACUGAUUGGUGAUAACUAACACUCCAUCGAUGAGGUUUGAAUUGCACAAACUUCUUUUGUCUUAGUUUGUGUGAGUUUAUGUCUAUUGGCGUUUGUUUGAUUUUCUCCUUUCUUGGCAACUUACUUCUGCUCUUUCACAUGCUGGUUUGGAGUCCCCGAAUCUGAUUGUUGGUAUUGAUGUCACCAAGAGCAACGAGUGGACAUGUAACAGGGUUAGACAAGGGCGAGAUCAUUUGGUAGGAAUAGCCUGCAUUACAUUGGAACAACUCCAAACACUUAUCAGCAAGCUAUUUCCAUCACUGGAAAGACUUUAUCAGUUUAAGAUGAAAGAUUAGUUACUUUGGUUUGGACUUCACAGCCACAACACAUGAUCAAGAGGUCUUUAGUUUCAAUUCCAAUAAUAUGUAUUUUUUUACGGGUUUGAAGAAGUUCUUAUGUGUUACAGAAAGAGCCUCAUAGUGUUCGAUAAUCUAAAUACAACACUCUCAUAUUGAUUUAUUUACUGGAGAUAGUUAUAUUGGAAACCAACA